GGAGAGGAAGCGGUCCACGGAGAGGGUACACAGGUGCAUGAUGGAGGCGGUGCAGAAGAGAACGUCCAGGGAGAUCCAUAACAGGCACAGCUCGGAAGAAAACGGGAAGUGGCCUGCGGGUGAAGGGGAUGACAGCGCCCUCAGAAGGAGAAUGGGCGUAUUGGGGAGGACGUGGGCGGUCUCGUUCGCUCCCACCUGCUCGUUCGCACGCCCAUCCGCCCACUGUUGUAAAGUUUUCCAUUGCGUGCCAUUGAAGGUGAACGGAGAAAAUGACGUGUGGACCGCAGAGUUGUGGGGAGGGAACAACAACUGUACCAACGACGGCGACGACAGUGAUGACAACAACGACAACAGCAUGAGCGACAGCAGCAACAGUGAUAACUAUAACAACACUAACAACAGCAACGUUAACAAGAAUAAAACAACAACAACAACAACAACAACAACAACAACAUUAGCAGCAUCAUCAACAUCAUCAGUGGUAACGAUGACAACAACAACAAAAACAACAACAACGUCAAGAACAACUGCAAGAAGAAAAUAGAAAAUAGGAGAAGAGGAAAAAGAAGAGAAAGAAAACAAAAAAAAAGCUAAAGGAACAAGUUUUCUUAUUUUGGCGAGACAAAGCAACAGUAACAACAACAAAAACAACAACAAUAACAACAACAACAACAGCAGCAGCAAAAACAUCAUCAGAAGGGGGAAACUAAGGAAAAAAAGAAUACUAGUGAAUAUAAUCAAAUAUUUUUUCAAUCCUUAACUUAAAACCGAAAACAUAUCAAUGUAAAUAUGCAAGAAAACGAGAACAUAAAUAAAAGAAAUAACUACAACGAAACAUUAAUAACAAAAGAAAAAAGCUAAAGAACACAACAGAUUAAGAUUUAGAUAAUAGAUAAGAUACGUAAAAUAUAGAAACUUAUUGAACAAAGAAGCAAACCUGAAAAAAAAAGUUACGAUUUAUUCAAGCAGUGGAGGAGUACAAGACGAGAGAAGGAAGAAAAAUGUGACAGGGAGAGGGCGAAUAGGCAGUGAAGGGGGAAGAGGGAGAGGAAGGGAGACGGAAAGAGGAUGAGAGGUGAUGGAAAAAUAUUAAACUCUCAAGCCAAUGCAAAAGUUGUGGGGGAGUUUCAUUGUGGAAUUAUGGAAGGGAAAAAAUCUGUCGACGAAAAUAAUUGGCGGGAAAAGUUGCAGAUAAAAUCAUUCUCUUAAAUAAAAACGAGAGAGAGAGAGAGAGAGAGAGAGAGAGAGAGAGAGAGAGAGAGAGAGAGAGAGAGAGA